rnacentral:rRNA from 1 species
AGAGUUUGAUCAUGGCUCAGGAUGAACGCUAGCGGCAGGCCUAAUACAUGCAAGUCGAACGAGAUUGAGGAGCUUGCUCUUCAUGAAAGUGGCGCACGGGUGCGUAACGCGUAUGCAACCUACCUUAAUCAGGGGGAUAGCCUCUCGAAAGAGAGAUUAACACCGCAUAAAAUCACAGUCCGGCAUCGGAUAAUGAUCAAAUAUUUAUAGGAUUAAGAUGGGCAUGCGUGACAUUAGCUAGUUGGUAAGGUAACGGCUUACCAAGGCUACGAUGUCUAGGGGAUCUGAGAGGAUGACCCCCCACACUGGUACUGAGACACGGACCAGACUCCUACGGGAGGCAGCAGUAAGGAAUAUUGGUCAAUGGGGGCAACCCUGAACCAGCCAUGCCGCGUGCAGGAAGACGGCCCUACGGGUUGUAAACUGCUUUUAUACGGGAAUAAACCUCUGCUCGUGAGCAGAGUUGAAUGUACUGUAAGAAUAAGGAUCGGCUAACUCCGUGCCAGCAGCCGCGGUAAUACGGAGGAUCCAAGCGUUAUCCGGAUUUAUUGGGUUUAAAGGGUGCGUAGGCGGCCUAUUAAGUCAGGGGUGAAAGACGGUGGCUCAACCAUCGCAGUGCCCUUGAUACUGAUGGGCUUGAUUACACUUGAGGUAGGCGGAAUGUGACAAGUAGCGGUGAAAUGCAUAGAUAUGUCACAGAAUACCAAUUGCGAAGGCAGCUUACUAAGGUGUUAAUGACGCUGAGGCACGAAAGCGUGGGGAUCAAACAGGAUUAGAUACCCUGGUAGUCCACGCCCUAAACGAUGAAUACUCGAUGUUAGCGAUAUACAGUUAGCGUCAAAGCGAAAGCGUUAAGUAUUCCACCUGGGGAGUACGCCCGCAAGGGUGAAACUCAAAGGAAUUGACGGGGGCCCGCACAAGCGGAGGAGCAUGUGGUUUAAUUCGAUGAUACGCGAGGAACCUUACCCGGGCUUGAAAGUUAGUGAAUUAUCCAGAGAUGGAUAAGUGAGCAAUCACACGAAACUAGGUGCUGCAUGGCCGUCGUCAGCUCGUGCCGUGAGGUGUUGGGUUAAGUCCCGCAACGAGCGCAACCCCUACUGUCAGUUGCUAACAGGUAAUGCUGAGGACUCUGGCGGAACUGCCCGUGCAAACGGAGAGGAAGGCGGGGACGACGUCAAGUCAUCACGGCCCUUAUGUCCCGGGCUACACACGUGCUACAAUGGCGCAUACAGAGGGCAGCCACCACGCGAGUAGGAGCGAAUCCUUAAGGUGCGUCUCAGUUCGGAUCGGAGUCUGCAACUCGACUCCGUGAAGCCGGAAUCGCUAGUAAUCGCGCAUCAGCCAUGGCGCGGUGAAUACGUUCCCGGGCCUUGUACACACCGCCCGUCAAGCCAUGGAAGCCGGAAGCGCCUGAAGUCCGUAACCGCAAGGAGCGGCCCAGGGCGAAAUCGGUAACUGGGGCUAAGUCGUAACAAGGUA